GCCCCCCAUUGCCCCAGAAGUACCACCAACAUCAUACACACUACCUGCAAAACAACAUCCCGGGUGGCCCAUCACCUCCUCCUUCACCUCCACUGAACCCAACAACCCCUAGAUUCUCCUCAUACGCUCCCAUUGCAGCAUCAUCAUCCUUAUACAUUUCCUUUGGUCUCUCCCCUACAUAAUAAGGCCUGGAGCAACCAAACACCCUCCUUACUUCAGAUCCUUUUGGUCGAUGAGCCAUCGCUCUACACCCA
rnacentral:lncRNA from 1 species